CAUAAACCUUGUGCUAUUUCCUGAAUCCUCUCUGGUCAAUUCCCUCCACUCAUUAGAGUGAACAAAAAAUGUGGCUAAACCUUGUGUCCUUACUAGUACUCCUGAAAGGAGUCCAAUCUCAAGUCCAGUUGGUGGAGUCUGGAGGGGAUGCGAGAAGGCCUGGAGAGUCCCUCCGUCUCUCUUGCCAAGGAUCUGGGUUCACCUUUGGAAGCUAUGACAUGAACUGGGUGAGACAGGCUCCUGGAAAAGGUCUGGAAUGGGUUGCACGCAUCUAUACUGAUUCCAGUGGAAAGUUCUACUCAGACAAAGUCAAGGGGCGCUUCACCAUCUCCAGGGACAAUGCCAAAAGCCAGCUGUAUCUGCAAAUGAACAGCCUCAAGCCAGAGGACACAGCAGUCUAUUACUGUGUGAGAGACACAGUGAGAGGAAGUGAAUCUGAUGCCAGACAAAAACCUUCCUUUCUUCAGAGGAGCUCUUCAACUUGUCUAAGCUGCAAAUCCUGGGUUAUCAAUGAUCAUUGUCUAGUGAGAACUUCAAGAAGCUUGGGUGUAGGUAUUAAAAAGUUUUCUGUAAGAAAAUAA